rnacentral:rRNA from 1 species
CCCUUAGAUGUUCUGGGCAGCACGCGCGCUACAAUGGUCUUCGCAAACGGAUGCAUUCUCGAAGGAGAAUGCCAAUCUUGGAAUCUAUGCCUUGGUCGGGACAGUUGCUUGCAAUUUUUCGACUCGAACCAGGAAUUCCUUGUAAUCGUGAUUCAUCACAUCACGAUGAAUACGUCCCUGCCCUUUGUACACACCGCCCGUCGCACCUACCGAUUGAAUGGUCCGGUGAAGCCUCCGGAUUGCGCGGCUUCGGCUGUCGCGAGAAGUUGGCUAAACCUUACCAUUUAGAGGAAGGUGAAGUCGUAACA